rnacentral:rRNA from 1 species
UUCCGGUGAUCCUGCCGGACCUGACUGCUAUCGGANUGAUACUAAGCCAUGCGAGUCAUUGUAGCAAUACAAGGCAGACGGCUCAGUAACGCGUAGUCAAUCUACCCUAUGGACGGGAAUAACCUCGGGAAACUGAGAAUAAUGCCCGAUAGAACAUUAUGCCUGGAAUGGUUUAUGUUUCAAAUGAUUUAUCGCCAUAGGAUGGGACUGCGGCCUAUCAGUUUGUUGGUGAGGUAAUGGCCCACCAAGACUAUUACAGGUACGGGCUCUGAGAGGAGUAGCCCGGAGAUGGGUACUGAGACACGGACCCAGGCCCUAUGGGGCGCAGCAGGCGAGAAAACUUUGCAAUGUGCGAAAGCACGACAAGGUUAAUCCGAGUGGUUUCUGCUAAAGAAACCUUUUGUCAGUCCUAGAAACACUAACGAAUAAGGGGUGGGCAAGUUCUGGUGUCAGCCGCCGCGGUAAAACCAGCACCUCAAGUGGUCAGGAUGAUUAUUGGGCCUAAAGCAUCCGUAGCUCGUUUUGUAAGUUUUCGGUUAAAUCCAUGCGCUUAACGUAUGGGCUGCCGGGAAUACUGCAUAACUAGGAAGUGGGAGAGGUAGACGGUACUCGGUAGGAAGGGGUAAAAUCCUUUGAUCUAUUGAUGACCACCUGUGGCGAAGGCGGUCUACCAGAACACGUUCUACGGUGAGGGAUGAAAGCUGGGGGAGCAAACCGGAUUAGAUACCCGGGUAGUCCCAGCUGUAAACUAUGCAAACUCAGUGAUGCAUUGGCUUGUGGCCAAUGCAGUGCUGCAGGGAAGCCGUUAAGUUUGCCGCCUGGGAAGUACGUACGCAAGUAUGAAACUUAAAGGAAUUGGCGGGGGAGCACCACAAGGGGUGAAGCCUGCGGUUCAAUUGGAGUCAACGCCGGAA